AUUCUGAUGCGUCGGGUCCGCUCUGUGUUUACGUCUUUGUGUGGAAUCAGUGUACCUGCUCUCAUUUGCUGUUUGGUGGUUGUUGAAAUAGUUUUGUGAGCUUUAAUCUGAGACUCUGGCAUUUCUGGCAAAACACAGUUAUAUUUAAAAGUCAAUUCAGGAUUUAAUGAAUCGAUAUCGCUUUAUUCAAGCUACUCACCUCUCUCUUCCACCUGCACUUUCAACUGGACCACGGCCAAUCAGAGAGGUCCCGCCCCUGAAUCUCUGAUUGGUUUAAUCCACAAUAGGGGCAUAAUGUGUGUCUGUUGUUGACCACACGGAGAGUUGCAGACCAAAUAUUUUUUUAGUCGCACCACUGAAAAAUUUGGUCGCAUUUGAGCCCUCUAGAGCCCUGGCAGGCCUAAGUACACGCGGUCAGUACAGUGAAACUGUGAAUGGCUCAUUAAAUCAGGUAUGGUUCCUUUGAUCGCUCAUCCAUCACUUGGAUAAAUGUGGCAAUUCUAGAGCUAAUACAUGCAAACGAGUGCUGACCCUCCGGGCAUGCAUGCAUUUAUCAGACCCAAAACCCAUGCAUGGCGUCCUCGUAUUGUGCCGCUAGAGGUGAAAUUCUUGGACCCCCGCAAGACGGACGAAAGCAAAAGCAUUUGCCAAGAAUGUUUUCAUUAAUCAAGAAUGAAAGUCGGAGGUUCGACAACGAUCAGAUACCGUCGUAGUUCUAACCAUAAACGAUGCCAACUAGCAUUCCGGCGGCGUUAUUCCCAUGACUUGCCGGGCAGCGUCCGGGAAACCAAAGUCUUCGGUUUCCGGGGGGAGUAUGGUUGCAAAGCUGAAACUUAAAGGAAUUGACGGAAGGGCACCACCAGGAGUGGAGCCUGCGGCUUAAUUUGACUCAACACGGGAAACCUCACCCGGCCCGGACACGGAAAGGAUUGACAGAUUGAUAGCUCUUUCUCGAUUCUGUGGGUGGUGGUGCAUGGCUGUUCUUAGUUGGUGGAGCGAUUUGUCUGGUUAAUUCCGAUAACGAACGAGACUCCGACAUGCUAACUAGUUACUCGACCCCGUGCGAUCCGAGUCCAAGUUCUUAGAGGGACAAGUGGCGUUCAGCCACACGAGAUAACAGCAAUAACAGGUCUGUGAUGCCCUUAGAUGUCCGGGGCUGCACGCGCGCCACACUGAGUGGAUCAGCGUGUGUCUACCCUUCGCCGAGAGGCGUGGGUAAUCCGUUGAACCCCACUCGUGAUAGGGAUUGGGGAUUCCAUUUCCCAUGAACGAGGAAUUCCCAGUAAGCGCGGGUCAUAAGCUCGCGUUGAUUAAGUCCCUGCCCUUUGUACACACCGCCCGUCGCUACUACCGAUUGGAUGGUUUAGUGAGGUCCUCGGAUCGGCCCCACCGGGGUCGGUCACGGCCCUGGCGGAGCGCCGAGAAGAUGAUCAAACUAUCUAGAGGAAGUAAAAGUCGUAACAAGGUUUCCGUAGGUAAACCUGCGGAAG
rnacentral:rRNA from 1 species